rnacentral:rRNA from 1 species
AGAACGAACGCUGGCGGCAGGCUUAACACAUGCAAGUCGAGCGCCCCGCCAAGGGGAGCGGCAGACGGGUGAGUAACGCGUGGGAACAUACCCUCCGGUUCGGAAUAGCUCAGGGAAACUUGGAUUAAUACCGGAUACGGCCUAGCGGCGAAAGAUUCAUCGCCGGAGGAUUGGCCCGCGUUCGAUUAGCUAGUUGGUGAGGUAACGGCUCACCAAGGCGACGAUCGAUAGCUGGUCUGAGAGGAUGAUCAGCCACAUUGGGACUGAGACACGGCCCAAACUCCUACGGGAGGCAGCAGUGGGGAAUAUUGGACAAUGGGCGCAAGCCUGAUCCAGCCAUGCCGCGUGAGUGAUGACGGCCUUAGGGUUGUAAAGCUCUUUCGCUAGGGACGAUAAUGACGGUACCUAGACAAGAAGCCCCGGCUAACUUCGUGCCAGCAGCCGC